GGGGAAUUAGCUCAGCUGGGAGAGCGCCUGGUUUGCAUCCAGGAGGUCACCGGUUCGAGCCCGGUAUUCUCCACCA
rnacentral:tRNA from 1 species